ACCGGGUGCGUUGGCAUGUGCCUGUAAUCCAAGUCACUGGGAGGCUGAGGUUGGUGGAUCAAGUGAGCUGAGGAGCUCUGGGCUGCAGCACGCUAUGUCGAACGGGUGUCCACGCGAAGUUCGGUAUCGAUAUGGUGUUCCUGGGGGAGCCCGGGACCACCAGGUUGUCUAAGGAGGGGUGAACCGGCCCAGGUCGGAAACGAAGCAGGUCAAAUCCCCCGUGCUGUCCAGUAGUGGGAUAAUACCUGUGAGUAGAUGCUGCAGUGCAGCCUUGGCAAAACAUUGAGACCUAGUCUUUU
rnacentral:SRP_RNA from 1 species